CGGGGUCCAGCAGCACCAAGAUAGUUAUGAAUACAGGAUAAACACUGUGGGCUCCAGGAGACGGGGCAGAGGUAGUGAAGGUUGUCUGAAGGCACACUCAGACACUGUCACAGAAGGUUGUGGAGAUCCGUAGCGCUGAAACGUCUGCACAGAAACAGAGAAAGCCAGCAUGAAGACCUCGUGAGGGACAGGCGAGUAAUCAGCUGAUUGUUGACAAGUGACUGAAGGACAGGAAGGUGGAGGAGCAUCCCCUAAAAAAGACAAACACACGGACAACAACACAGGCACACACCGAAAGAGGAGAGAGAGAAAGAAGCAGGCCAGCAAAAACGGGCAAGGGAACCAUGACAUCUA
ensembl:lncRNA